GCAUAUCAAUAAGCGGAGGAAAAGAAACCAACAGGGAUUGCCCUAGUAACGGCGAGUGAAGCGGCAACAGCUCAAAUUUGAAAUCUGGCCCUCGGGUCCGAGUUGUAAUUUGUAGAGGAUGCUUUUGGCGCGGUGCCUUCCGAGUUCCCUGGAACGGGACGCCACAGAGGGUGAGAGCCCCGUCUGGUCGGACACCAAGCCUCUGUAAAGCUCCUUCGACGAGUCGAGUAGUUUGGGAAUGCUGCUCUAAAUGGGAGGUAUAUGUCUUCUAAAGCUAAAUACCGGCCAGAGACCGAUAGCGCACAAGUAGAGUGAUCGAAAGAUGAAAAGCACUUUGAAAAGAGAGUUAAAAAGUACGUGAAAUUGUUGAAAGGGAAGCGCUCAUGACCAGACUUGGGCCUGUUUGAUCAACCUGGGUUCUCCCGGGUGCACUCUCUCAGGCCUAGGCCAGCAUCAGUUCGCCGCGGGGGACAAAGGCCUCGGGAAUGUGGCUCCCCUCGGGGAGUGUUAUAGCCCGUUGCGUAAUACCCUGCGGCGGACUGAGGACCGCGCGAAAGCAAGGAUGCUGGCGUAAUGGUCAUCAGCGACCCGUCUUGAAACACGGACCAAGGAGUCGUCUUCGUAUGCGAGUGUUCGGGUGUUAAACCCCUACGCGUAAUGAAAGUGAACGCAGGUGAGAGCUUCGGCGCAUCAUCGACCGAUCCUGAUGUUCUCGGAUGGAUUUGAGUAAGAGCAUACGGGGCCGGACCCGAAAGAAGGUGAACUAUGCCUGUGUAGGGUGAAGCCAGAGGAAACUCUGGUGGAGGCUCGCAGCGGUUCUGACGUGCAAAUCGAUCGUCAAACAUGGGCAUGGGGGCGAAAGACUAAUCGAACCUUCUAGUAGCUGGUUUCCGCCGA
rnacentral:rRNA from 1 species